AGAAUCAACGCUGGCGGCGUGCCUAACACAUGCAAGUCGCACGAGAAAGGGGAGCAAUCCCUGAGUACAGUGGCGCACGGGUGAGUAACACGUGAAUAAUCUACCUCCGAGUGGGGAAUAACUGAGAGAAAUCUUAGCUAAUACCGCAUAAUACCCACGGGUCAAAGCAGCAAUGCGCUUGAGGAGGGGGUCGCGGCUGAUUAGCUAGUUGGCGGGGUAAUGGCCCACCAAGGCGAAGAUCGGUA
rnacentral:rRNA from 1 species